UACGUAGGGUGCGAGCGUUGUCCGGAAUUAUUGGGCGUAAAGGGCUCGUAGGCGGUUUGUCGCGUCGGGAGUGAAAUCACUGGGCUUAACCGAGUGCUUGCUUUCGAUACGGGCAGGACUUGGAGGCAUUCAGGGGAGAACGGAAUUCCUGGUGUAGCGGUGAAUGCGCAGAUAUCAGGAGGAACACCGGUGGCGAAGGCGGUUCUCUGGGAAUGUUCUGACGCUGAGGAGCGAAAGUGUGGGGAGCGAACAGG
rnacentral:rRNA from 1 species